GGCAUUAUUAGGAGGUGUGGCCUUGUUGGAGGAGGUGUGUCACUGAGGAAAGGGCUUUGAGGUCUCAUAUAUGCUCAAGCCACGCCCAAUGAGACAGUUCACUUCCUGUUGCCUUCGGAUCAAGAUGUAGAACUCUCAGCUUCUUCUCCAGCACCAUGUCUGCCUGCAUGUCACCAUGCUCCUCAACAUAACGACAAAUGGACUAAACCUCUGAAACUUUGCCAGGUUAGCUCUGCUGCCAAGGCCAGGCGAAUGCUGGCAGCUCCCCAGGGAAGUAUUUUAAUCUCCAGCAUCAAACCAGACCCCUCUUCCAUCCGCCAUCUG
rnacentral:lncRNA from 1 species